UUCGUACCAUCCUCAAGAUCUACAUGCGCCAAGCAAACUAAACACUUGAUUUGCGCAGCCAUAUAUGCACGUGGAUUGGAAUGCUGGAAAUAAACAACAGUCAAGUUUCAUACAAUAUUUUCAUGAGUAGCUCAGAUCGUAGUGUAUUUUAUUCCCUUCUCAAGACGGUUACUUGCGACUGGAAACCAUAUAUUUUCAAUCGCAAAAUUAAUGUUAACCAAGGAAAAUUUGAUACUUCCAACAAUACGCUUUAUUCUUUCAAUUUAAUAUCUUAAACAUGUUAAAAGAUCAAGUUAGUACAACAUCAUCUUGAAACAAAUCCAUAAUGUUAUGUUUAAAAAAAAAAAAAAAAAACCUUUCAAACAUAUUAUUAUUUAGGUUGCAGGAUACAUUCUUCAAUAUUCGCUAUAGAUUUGUUUACACAUUAAAGUAUCACUUUUCAAUCUAUCCUUGGUUCUUCAACGUGCGUAGUUCAUCCAUCACCUUGAUAGGAUCGUUAAGACCCAGAUGCUUUUGCAGUUCUGGAUCAGUUACCCUCAUAAAUGGAUUAAAUUGUUUCUCCUGCCCCAUCGUUAUGUGGCCUGCAAUAAAUUGGUUGUGAUUGCAAAGACCCUCCAAAUGAUUUAAUGCCUCUGAUUGAAGAUGUUUUGAGGCGAAUUUCACAUUCGAUUUUGUAUAUUCGUGUCCAGGCUAGGAAACUUGUUAGGAAAAAAAAAAUAAAAAAAAAUAAAAAAAAAUAAAA